UACGUAGGGUGCAAGCGUUAAUCGGAAUUACUGGGCGUAAAGCGUGCGCAGGCGGUUGUGCAAGACCGAUGUGAAAUCCCCCGGGCUUAACCUGGGAAUGGCAUUGGUGACUGCACGGCUAGAGUGUGUCAGAGGGGGGUAGAAUUCCACGUGUAGCAGUGAAAUGCGUAGAGAUGUGGAGGAAUACCGAUGGCGAAGGCAGCCCCCUGGGAUAACACUGACGCUCAUGCACGAAAGCGUGGGGAGCAAACAGG
rnacentral:rRNA from 1 species